rnacentral:rRNA from 1 species
AUUGAACGCUGGCGGCAUGCCUUACACAUGCAAGUCGAACGGUAACGGGCCUUCGGGUGCCGACGAGUGGCGAACGGGUGAGUAAUACAUCGGAACGUGCCCGAUCGUGGGGGAUAACGAGGCGAAAGCUUUGCUAAUACCGCAUACGAUCUACGGAUGAAAGCAGGGGACCGCAAGGCCUUGCGCGGACGGAGCGGCCGAUGGCAGAUUAGGUAGUUGGUGGGAUAAAAGCUUACCAAGCCGACGAUCUGUAGCUGGUCUGAGAGGAUGAUCAGCCACACUGGGACUGAGACACGGCCCAGAAUCCUACGGGAGGCAGCAGUGGGGAAUUUUGGACAAUGGGCGCAAGCCUGAUCCAGCCAUGCCGCGUGCAGGAUGAAGGCCUUCGGGUUGUAAACUGCUUUUGUACGGAACGAAAAGCCUUCUUUUAAUACAGGAGGGUCAUGACGGGUCCGUAAGAAUAAGCACCGGCUAACUACGU